rnacentral:rRNA from 1 species
GGGUUGUGAGGUUAAGCGACUAAGCGUACACGGUGGAUGCCCUGGCAGUCAGAGGCGAUGAAGGACGUGCUAAUCUGCGAUAAGCGUCGGUAAGGUGAUAUGAACCGUUAUAACCGGCGAUUUCCGAAUGGGGAAACCCAGUGUGUUUCGACACACUAUCAUUAACUGAAUCCAUAGGUUAAUGAGGCGAACCGGGGGAACUGAAACAUCUAAGUACCCCGAGGAAAAGAAAUCAACCGAGAUUCCCCCAGUAGCGGCGAGCGAACGGGGAGCAGCCCAGAGCCUGAAUCAGUGUGUGUGUUAGUGGAAGCGUCUGGAAAGGCGCGCGAUACAGGGUGACAGCCCCGUACACAAAAAUACACAUACUGUGAGCUCGAUGAGUAGGGCGGGACACGUG